AUAUCGCUGAUUUCUUCAGGGUAUGGUUUAAACAUAAUGUUUCACUAAAUACUGACGUUUUGAUUAAUUAUCUAAUGAGUGGAGCAUUCCUUUAAACAUUGCAGCCGUUACGUGUUAAACAGUUUCUGUUACUUAGAAUGUUAGUAUGUUAUUUGCUUUGUAGGAUUAUAGUGACAAUGACUCGUGAAAAGUUUUACAAAAUAAAGUUCACAGACACUAAACAACCCCAAAGGAACAAACAUACAAAACAGCGAGGUAACAUGACCAUGAAGACACAGAAAAUGACCUCGAAAUGACAACAAUGAGACAUCUAAUGACAAAAACGUAGGUAACAGGGUGACUACAAAGAGGCAAGGAAUAACUAUAAAAACAAACACAGAGAAACACAAAAAGACCACAAAGACACAUGAAAUUAACAAAAACUUAAUUUCGAGAACACAAUUUAAAUCAAGACUUUUAAAGGGCCCAUUGCAUGCUUUUCCGGUUAUUACCCGUCUCCUUGUGUGUUAUGAAGGUGUCCAUGCAUGUAAACAGUCUGCAAAGUCAAAACCCCUCAAAGUACACCCUGUAGGGAGUAAAACUCUAAAACAGAAAAGACCUCCCCCAAAAGCCUCGUUGGAGAUUUCUCAGUUUCCAUUGUUUACCCAAUGUUUCAAAGCUCUAUCCAGUCAUGUCGCGGAGGGUCUGUUGCCUGUCUUGUGUGGAGAAAUCCACAAUGUUUGCAGUACCGAAGGCAGAACCACGACGAAGUCAGUGGUUGACAUUCCUUUUUAACACUGUUCCAGCUGAUUUACCAGCCGGUACUGUUGUGUGUGCGCGGCAUUUCACGGACCAAAGCUUUAAAAACGUAACAAUGUUUAGCUUCGGACUUGCAAAGCUGAUAUUGGAGGACGAUGCUAUUCCUACUUUGUUUGGACCAGCGGGAGAUUCGGGUACACAACCUGUAAGUAUUCAUUGUGGUUUGUGUAUUUAUUCUGUUUAAAACAAACAAUGUAUCUACCACGACUGUGUAAAUGCUAUGCUAUGCUAAUGCUAUGCUACCGAGGUAAACACGAGGGCUAACGAGCAUUCCCAGACCUCAACACCGAUGUUAGCACAUGGCCUUACAUGUAUCUCAUAGCAGGAGAAUGUCUGCAAACACACACGAAAUACUCAUAGACAGUAUACUCCGGGUGAUUUAACCGUACGGUCAGUAAUUACAGUUGCCGUUCGUGUAUUCUACCGAGCUACCAUUAAUAAGCUAAGCUAGAAGCUCUAACCUAGAGAUGUUAUGAAAAACAUUGUUUUCAUGCCAGCUACAAUGAAUGACCGAACGUAACAGACUAACUGUAUAAUAUUGCAAUUGUAAGAUGUUCUUGCUAAGCCUAGACUAGCUGUUCAACUGCAUAUUAGGUUAGCAUAUGUGUGGAAUUUCCACCACACCCUUGAAUGUUGUCCAUCACAGCACGUCAUUUCCACACUAGGGCUUGAAUAUUAACUUGUGCAUGUGCUUUUUUUUAUCAGGUUUGUCCAAGAAACUUCUGAAACUUACACAGAACAAGGACUGUGACACGAAGUUGAAGAGGUGGCUGCGCAGCAUAAAAAGUCAUGUCUACUGGAGUGUGACGAGCACACAUCCUGUAGGAGCCGCAAGCGAUGCAAAUAAACCUUACCUAAAAGGUGGCUCAAUAACAUUCGCCAGAGUUGAAACGAUACUCCAACAAGAGAGUUCUCAAAGAUGUGCUAAAGCUAAGCCAUCACUAUCAGACCUCAUCCCUGGAGUCCUUCCACAACUUAAUUCUGCGUUUUUCAUUGAAAUGUUGUGCAGGUUGUGUCUAGCAGCAAUGCAUCACAACGAGAAUGCUGGGCGUGACCAAGCGACAACUGCUGCAGGAAAACUUCAAAUUGGCUUAUCCAAAAUCAAAGAGGGGAGAGUGUACGGUCAAGCCUGUUAAGAACGACCCUACAUACAUCUGUGGAUGAGCUGACGAGGCUUGUGUUUCACAAAGUCUUUCUGGACGAGCUGAAACGAAUCCACGUCCCAGAGGACCUGUCAACUCAAUUUGACAGGCCCCCCAAGGAGGAAAUGAUUGUCAGCCGUUUCUCCCGUUUCCCCCCAAAGGAGGUCGAAAUCCUACAUAUUGUCCAGCCAGAUCUGGAAACUCCUGGCGGAUCCGGAGCACAACACACGACGGAAUCACCACUCUGAUGCCUCGCCCUAAAUAUCCCCAGCACCAGCUUACAAAGCUGCGAUACGCAAGAUAUCGAAAACGCCUAUCAGGAGAGGAAUGGAUGAUGUACAG